rnacentral:rRNA from 1 species
CCUACGGGAGGCAGCAGUGAGGAAUAUUGGUCAAUGGACGAGAGUCUGAACCAGCCAAGUAGCGUGAAGGAUGACUGCCCUAUGGGUUGUAAACUUCUUUUAUAUGGGAAUAAAAUGUUCCACGUGUGGCAUUUUGUAUGUACCAUAUGAAUAAGCAUCGGCUAACUCCGUGCCAGCAGCCGCGGUAAUACGGAGGAUCCGAGCGUUAUCCGGAUUUAUUGGGUUUAAAGGGAGCGUAGGUGGAUUGUUAAGUCAGUUGUGAAAGUUUGCGGGUCAACCGUAAAAUUGCAGUUGAAACUGGCAGUCUUGAGUACAGUAGAGGUGGGCGGAAUUCGUGGUGUAGCGGUGAAAUGCUUAGAUAUCACGAAGAACUCCGAUUGCGAAGGCAGCUCACUGGACUGCAACUGACACUGAGGCUCGAAAGUGUGGGUAUCAAACAGGAGUAGAUACCCCGGUAGUC